UACGGAGGGGGCUAGCGUUGUUCGGAAUUACUGGGCGUAAAGCGCACGUAGGCGGACUGGAAAGUCAGAGGUGAAAUCCCAGGGCUCAACCUUGGAACUGCCUUUGAAACUCCCGGUCUUGAGGUCGAGAGAGGUGAGUGGAAUUCCGAGUGUAGAGGUGAAAUUCGUAGAUAUUCGGAAGAACACCAGUGGCGAAGGCGGCUCACUG
rnacentral:rRNA from 1 species